GCUGGGUAUGGUGGUACCCACCUGUAAUUUCAGUAACUUGAGAAGCUGAGGCAGGAGGGUUGCAAGUUUGAGGCCAGCCUGGGCAAAAUAGUGAGAUCCUGUCUCAA
rnacentral:sRNA from 1 species